GACGAACGCUGGCGGCGUGCUUAACACAUGCAAGUCGAACGGAAAGGCCCUGCUUUUGUGGGGUGCUCGUGUGGCGAACGGGUGAGUAACACGUGAGUAACCUGCCCUUGACUUUGGGAUAACUUCUGGAAACUGGGGCUAAUACCGGAUAGGAGCUCCUGCUGCAUGGUGGGGGUUGGAAAGUUUCGGCGGUUGGGGAUAGACUCGGGGCUUAUCAGCUUGUUGGUGGGGUUGUGGCUUACCAAGGCUUUGACGGGUAGCCGGCCUGAGAGGGUGACCGGCCACAUUGGGACUGAGAUACGGCCCAGACUCCUACGGGAGGCAGCAGUGGGGAAUAUUGCACAAUGGGCGGAAGCCUGAUGCAGCAACGCCGCGUGCGGAAUGACGGCCUUCGGGUUGUAAACCGCUUUCGCCUGUGACGAAGCGUGAGUGACGGUAAUGGGUAAAGAAGCACCGGCUAACUACGUG
rnacentral:rRNA from 1 species